rnacentral:rRNA from 1 species
UACGAAGGGGGCUAGCGUUGCUCGGAAUUACUGGGCGUAAAGCGCACGUAGGCGGCCAUGAUAGUCAGAUGUGAAAGGCCUGGGCUUAACCCGGGAACUGCAUUUGAUACUGCAUGGCUAGAGUCCAAGAGAGGGUAGUGGAAUUCCCAGUGUAGAGGUGAAAUUCGUAGAUAUUGGGAAGAACACCAGUGGCGAAGGCGGCUACCUGGCUUGGAACUGACGCUCAGGUGCGAAAGCCGUGGGGAGCGAACGAGG